UACAGAGGUCCCGAGCGUUGUUCGGAUUUAUUGGGCGUAAAGGGUGCGUAGGCGGCGGAGUAAGUUGGGUGUGAAAUCCCGGGGCUCAACCUCGGAAUUGCAUUCAAUACUGCUUCGCUCGAGUACUGGAGAGGAGGCUGGAAUUUACGGUGUAGCAGUGAAAUGCGUAGAUAUCGUGAGGAACACCAGAGGCGAAGGCGGCUACCUGGACAAUCGCUGACGCUCAGGCACGAAAGCGUGGGGGAGCAAAAGGG
rnacentral:rRNA from 1 species